GAUGAACGCUGGCGGCGUGCCUAAUACAUGCAAGUCGAGCGAAUGGAUUGAGAGCUUGCUCUUAUGAAGUUAGCGGCGGACGGGUGAGUAACACGUGGGUAACCUGCCCAUAAGACUGGGAUAACUCAGGGAAACCGGGGCAAAUACCGGAUAACAUUUUGAACCGCAUGGUUCGAAAUUGAACAGCGGCUUCGGCUGUCACUUCUGGAUGGACCGGCGUCGCAUUAGCUGGUUGGUGAGGUAACGGCUCACCAAGGCAACGAUGCGUAGCCGACCUGAGAGGGUGAUCGGCCACACUGGGACUGAGACACGGCCCAGACUCCUACGGGAGGCAGCAGUAGGGAAUCUUCCGCAAUGGACGAAAGUCUGACGGAGCAACGCCGCGUGAGUGAUGAAGGCUUUCGGGUCGUAAAACUCUGUUGUUAGGGAAGAACAAGUGCUAGUUGAAUAAGCUGGCACCUUGACGGUACCUAACCAGAAAGCCACGGCUAACUACGUGCCAGCCGCCGCAGUAA
rnacentral:rRNA from 1 species